UUAUUUUUUCCUUUAUAACUGACUGUCAAAACUGGAUACAAAAGAAAGUUCUGUGGCAUUCAUUGUUCAUGUUUCCAAAGAGUUUAACCUGAGCCAGACUGACAACAAGAUAGAAAUCAUGUGACAUCCACAGGGAUAGAAGUAUACAGUUAUUAAAGCAUAAUAAAAUAUUUGACAC